GGAUGUGAAGGCGAUCUGGCUGUGACAUCUGUCACUCCCCUGAUUGCCAGGGUUAAUUCCGCUGAUCUGGUUGGCUAGACAGGUGCCCCAUUUGUCCCUCACCACUCCACAUGUGUCCCUUCCAGGGCUGUGCACUUGGUUGAAGAGGAUGACCUUCCUAAAAUAGAGGGGGCUCAUCAUUGGUCAAGAGUAUAUGAGUAGCUGCACUCCCCUGCUAGAAAGUCCAAACAAGCUCUCAAAAUCCCAAUUUCCUUGCUGAAUUUUUCUUCCAUGGUGCUUUUUCAUCCAUAUUCUUUUUCAUCUAU
rnacentral:snRNA from 1 species